rnacentral:rRNA from 1 species
UUCCGGUUGAUCCCGCCGGAGGCUACCGCUAUUGGAGUUCGAUUAAGCCAUGCGAGUCGCGAGAAAUUAGAUUCUCGGCGUACCGCUCAGUAACACGUGGGUAACCUGCCCUAUGCUGGAUAAUAACCUCGGGAAACUGAGAAUAAUGAUCCAUAGUUCACUACGCCUGGAACGGUGAGUGGAUGAAAGCUCCGGCGGCAUAGGAUGGGCCUGCGGCGUAUCAGGUUGUAGGGGGUGUAACGUACCCUCUAGCCCUCUACGCGUACGGGUGUUGGGAGACAUAGCCCGGAGAUGGAUUCUGAGACACGAAUCCAGACCCUACGGGGUGCAGCAGGCGCGAAAACUUGGCAAUGCGAGAAAUCGUGACCAGGGAACUCCAAGUGCAUCGGGUAAGACCGGUGCUUUUCUUGACUCUAAAUAGGUCUUGGAAUAAGGGGUGGGUAAGGACGGUGCCAGCCGCCGCGGUAAUACCGGCGCCUCAAGUGGUAGUCGCUUUUAUUGGGCCUAAAACGUCCGUAGCCGGUCUGAUACAUUCGUGGGUAAAUCAACCAGCUUAACUGGUUGAAUUCUGCGAGGACGGUCAGACUUGGGACCGGGAGAGGUGUGGGGUACGCUCAGGGUAGGGGUAAAAUCCUGUCAUCCUGAGCGGACCACCUGUUGCGAAGGCGCCACACUAGAACGGAUCCGACGGUCAGGGACGAAGCCUAGGGGCACGAACCGGAUUAGAUACCCGGGUAGUCCUAGGUGUAAACGCUGUGGACUUGAUGUUGGGGGUGCUCCGAGCACUCUCAGUGUCGAAGCGAAGGUGAUAAGUCCACUGCCUGGGAAGUACGGUCGCAAGGCUGAAACUUAAAGGAAUUGGCGGGGGAGCACCGCAACCUGAGGAUUGUGCGGUUUAAUUGGAGUCAACGCCGG